GGAUGUGAGGGUGAUCUGGCUGCGACAUCUGUCACCCUAUUGAUCACCAGGGUGGAUUCAGCUGAUCUGGCUGGCAAGGUAGGUGUCCUCUUCCUCCCUCAUCACUCCACACGUGUCUGUCCCGAAGCUGUGCACCCAGCCAAAGAGGACAACCAUCCCUGAGAGAGGAGGACCAGUCUUCAGUCAAGGGCAUACAAGCAGCUGUGCGCCCCUGCUAGUACCUCCAAAUGAGCUAUCAAGUAUCUCUAAUUUCUUAAUUUUUCUAUAGGGAAUUAUGUGUAACCUUUGUAGUAAAAAAUCAUAAAUAACAAUAAAUAU
rnacentral:snRNA from 1 species